AAACAAAAUUGGAAACACACUGAGACACUACUCCCGGGAGAAAACGAGAAGCUUUCAGUGCCCCACAGAAAGAGAUGCAGAGGCUGCUGGCAGCUCCCAGCGGUCGGUGAGAGGGUGAGAGGCACCGAGGCCGCCGCCUGCCCGGGGGGGCCACUUGCGGGCUGCCACAUCCUCCACUCCCUCUGCGGUUCGCCCACUCCGCCGGGACCGCAGCCCUCCCGGCCCGCACAGCUCGGCUCAGAAGUGAGGUUCACUUUCCCUUCCGUCCUGUCCCUGCCUACUGCAAAACUCUGACAGAGCAGGCAUCGUGGCCGGAACGUCUCCCUCGCUUGUUUUCUUAUGCACAUAUGCAAGUGCGCGCACAGUCAGUGCUACUGAGAGAAAAUAUCACUGAGAGACUUCCCCCACACAUACAUACAGAUGAACACAGAAUAAACGUGACUCUACAGAAUUAAAUGCUGAUGAUGCCAAGCAAAUUAGAAUAGUCUGAGAAAUGUAUCAGAAGGAGAACAUGACAAAGCAGCCGCAUCACACCCUCGGCCGCACGCAUGGGACUGAGGGGGUUACCUCGCUGACCUCCCUCCGCCGACGGGAACAGCCCCAGCACCACGGACAGCGCCCGUCGCGGCCGACUCGGCAACUUUCAGCACCGCGGAGAGCGCUCCCGGCCCGCGCCCUUCCGCGGCGCCUACGCGGCGAGACCUACCGGUGCCGGAGAGACUAUUUUCCCUCCAAUCCUUUCACGACAGGGAAAGGAAAUUAAAAUAUGUUAUCGGCUUCUUUAGAGACACAUCUUAUACCUUCGAUUAUGUUAGCUGUCUCGCUAUUUUAUGACAUUUUAUGGGUUCAGGAGUAUUGCUCUUCUUAUCUGCUAUCACACGUUGCCUAAUGUUCGGCAUUAACACCCUCUCCCUUCUCUCAAAUCCCAACUCCCACUUUGAAGGGAGAUCGUGGUUAAUCCAGUACUGUCUUCUCAAGAAAAUAACUUCCUUAUUAAAAAGUAAAUCUGGCAAGAUAUAAGAUGUUUAGAACUCAAGGAAUAUUUGGGUUCUGAAGACAAUUUACAGUCCAUGCAGUUAAGUGAAGCAUCAGAAUACACUACUCUAAACUCCUUUUCUGUAAAUUGGACUUUAGUUUCAUUUCAUCUUCAUAGAGAGAGGAGGAAGAAAGAGUAACCUUUACAAAGAUCCUUUUGUUCAUCCUCCAAAAUAAUUUCAACACGGACAUAGGAAAGUGCUCUUAAGUACUUUCAUAUUUCCUUCCUUGUAAGACAUACAAUUCAAAGGUUGGAGAUCCCUAAUAAAAUAUUCAGCUAGAGAAGCUCGUCUUGUCUCUUGGGGGCUUAUCACCACUGUUAUACAUUGCUUCUCAGAUUAAAAUCUUUAUGAAACUGUCCUCUUUGCUUCAGUGAUCAGCAAAUGGGAAAUCCACAAUUCCUUAGUUAUAUGUUUUAAUUUAUUUUACAUUUUGGACCUCUAUAGUAGACAUGGUAGUAAUACAUUUUUAAUACACAAGGACAAUGUCCAAGUGAAGGUGGUAUGAAAAAUAGUAUUUCAGCUACAGGAGGGGAAGGAGAAUAGAUCAUCUAAGGCCUUUACAUCUUUUCUGAGUGAUAAAAGCCUACUAAAUUCUUCAAGUAUGUGUCAGGUAUAAAUGGUGAUCUUAUGUACCUAAUGCUUCAUUCGGAAAGGAGAGAUGUGAUUUUGAUUACCUUAUUAUAUCAGGCACUUUUUUCCUUCAGAUCGUAUUUUCAUGUGCUGUUAUCAUAAUAAAAGUUAAUCCACUUCCAGCUAGCUGCCACCUACUGGGAUGUAUAGUUUUACCAUAUCACUUUUAAAAGGAAAUGGCUUUCGUUUUCAGGUCAGAACUAUGUCUCUAUGAAUAGAUGAUAGAUUUUUUUUUUAAUCACUUAAUGUACAGUUUUGUCCUCUCCCAACAACAAUGUAUAUAAAUUUAGUAUGUAUAAAACAUAUGAUGGCCAGA